GAGAGAGAGAGAGAGAGAAAAGAAGGGAGGGAGGGAGAUAGAGAGAGAGCACGAAAGGCACUGCAAAUCUCUAAAAUAAGAUUAGUCGGGCCUGUCAUUGAUUAUAUAUAGUGUACAGACUGUCCCACGUCAAUUCUCAUUAUCUUCUUUGCUCCACAAACCUAUUCUCUAUUUGUUUUUUCUUCCUUCGUUACACCGGAUGGUGCAAAUAAAUCUAUUCUUCUAUACCAAAUCAGAUAUGAGUCCACUCAGUUAAGUCAGCAAAAUAGAUCAGAAAUUUAUAAUUUAACCCCCAAUUCCUAGUUAAAUCAAUCUGCUAACAUGCCACUUCAUAUAUUAAAUAUAGAUCCCAUUGUCCAAUCAAAUAACCAAAAAUUGAAGAGCUCCAAGGUUGUCCUAAGCAAUAGUCAGUAUAUGGUUUUCCUGCAGUUUGACUUAGAAUCCAAAAAGUUAAGAGGGCUACAAGGGUCCUAGAUCAGAAUUCAGAACUUUAUAAUUGGACUACUUCACUUGAGAAACACUGUGGAGGGAAGUACAAGUAAGCUGGCUGUUAGCCUUUUGACAUGCUAGAGAAGCACCAAAUAAUGAAAGUGAAAGCAAGGAAGAAAGAAAUACAACCUAAAAACAAAGAUGAUCUAAAACAAGACCCUACCAAUAUUUCAACAAUUCGAUUAAACACCAUUAGAAAUAAAUAAAAAUUUAAGCACUGUACUCGAACUACCAUGCUUCCAACUGUUUCGCAUUGCACACCAACAAGUAAAACCAUAAAAUAAAAUAAAUCAACUAUGCAAAUAGGAAAAGUUGGAAUUCUGAACUUCUCUAAUCCCAUUUCAAAAAGAACACAUUAGUAUAAUUUCAUUCCUUCCCACAUCACAUAAAUUUCUAACCACCCGAAUAACUGCAAAAUUCAAUAAACAAUCCUAACACUAAAAUUAAUAAGUAAACGUACCAAUUUUUGGCCCAAAGUGGCUUGAAAUGAACCGUUAAGCAAAUCUUCCCCCCUCUAUACAUCUUCUGGGUCUUGCCGUCGAGUUGAGGUAGCUCGAUCUCCGGAGCAGUAGAUGGAUAAGUAACGGGAAUAUCGAACUGGAGAUCAAACUCGUACUUUAGCAGGUUGUGGACGUACCAGCACUUACCGGUCCAACGCGUCCCCUCGGGAUUAGCAGCGGAGAUACGGAACCAAUCGUUGUCGUUGGACUUGUUCAUCUGAGUGUAAGCGAUCAAAGCUUUGUACUCCUCCUUCAGCCUCUGUGUCCAAGUAGCUCCGUCCCUUGGUCCAGCUUUCGUUGCCAGGAGCGGGAUCUGAGUCAAUGUCGAUUUCGUGUUUGGAUCCCAUCCCUCCAUUUUUCCCCCUCCGGUUAACCCUAACCCUAAUUUUGAUUCUUAUGAUUGUUUCUCAAUUGUCG
rnacentral:misc_RNA from 1 species